GUGUCCACAUUAAUAUUAUUUUUAAUUAAUUUGCUUCGAAAGACUGUAUUAAUUUUUAGAAAUUGAUACAAGUAGUUAAAAUACACUAAGUUUUGCAGUUUUAUUGGGAUAAUUUUCUGUAAUGGUAUAUCAGUUUCUAUUAAUUUACGAAUUAAACUGAGUUAGUGUAAUUGAACGCAUCUAUGAAAUCAAUUAUCAAUGGAUUAUAGGUAUAGAAGAAGUUUUCAUCUAUGGGCUUCCGGCUCGUUUCGUUCAUUAUCUACGAACUACGAUCAUCAUCAAUCAUCAUUUUGUCUUCGCUUUUGGAAAGGAAGGCAUGUCACCAUUUUUGCUGUUCAUAAAUAGAAACGACACCUGAAGACUUGCUUUGAGAUGAUAUCCUUGGAUUCAAUGGAAAAACUACUUCUAGCAACCAGACAUGUUUUUAUUUUCAAGAAUGCUUGUAAUGAGCUGGUCAAAAAAUUCAUAGGACACAGGGUGCUAACAAUGGCUUAUAUUAAAACAUAAUAAAUGUACAUGGCGAAGGUAAAUCAAAGGGGAAAUGUGGAGAAGCAAGGUCUCCAAUCAUGCAUGUUUCGCUUGGUUAUGGAAAUGGGUUGUUUGUAGAAAGGGAUGCCAUUUAAACAUGUUAAAUGAAGGAGACAAAAAGUAAAGAGGAUUCAAAACCUGAAGAAUUGGAGCCCCUUUAAUGUUCCUGCCCCUUGGCUGUGAAAGGUGCGAUUUUUAGAAAAUAUAUACAGUGAUUUACGCUGUAACAUAUAAGGUUGCAAUGCGAUGUGUGGUUAUUGUUAAGAGACACUUCUUUUUAUCAACGCUUAGGAAUAAAUCUCGAGUACCGUAGAGUAAUCCUCCAGAUCGUCUGACAAAUGGGAGAGAAUUAAAGUUCAGGUUGAUGGUACUGAAACAAUAUCUACAAUGGUGCUGCCUUUGGUGAACUACAAUCUU
rnacentral:lncRNA from 1 species